CCUACGGGAGGCUGCAGUGAGGAAUAUUGGUCAAUGGGCGGGAGCCUGAACCAGCCAAGUCGCGUGAGGGAAGACGGUCCUAUGGAUUGUAAACCUCUUUAGGCGGGGAGCAAUGCCGGGCACGUGUGCCCGGAGGGAGAGUACCCGCAGAAUAAGCAUCGGCUAACUCCGUGCCAGCAGCCGCGGUAAUACGGAGGAUGCGAGCGUUAUCCGGAUUUAUUGGGUUUAAAGGGUGCGUAGGCGGCACUGCAAGUCCGGAGUGAAAGCCCAAGGCUUAACCAUGGGACUGCUCUGGAAACUGUGGAGCUUGAGUGCGGGAGAGGCAGGCGGAAGUCCUAGUGUAGCGGUGAAAUGCGUAGAUAUUAGGAGGAACACCGGCGGCGAAGGCGGCCUGCUGGACCGUAACUGACGUUGAGGCUCGAAAGCGUGGGGAGCAAACAGGAUUAGAUACCCGAGUAGUC
rnacentral:rRNA from 1 species